CAGAAAUGGUUCCUCCCUACCCCAUGCAGCAUUUUGAUGUCUCACCUGGUAUGGUACCUCAAAUGAGUCAGACAUAGGAAUCUUCCUACAGUCCCAGGUAAAGAAGAUGCAUAUACUUGAAGAUAGACAUGACCCAGAGAAAUCUUAACAAACACCCUGGGCUCUGACUGAGCACUGUACUACUGCACAUUACCGCACUGUAUAGUAAGCACACCGCAGCGCAACUGCGACACGGACCAGCAGACACAUGAGCUACUUCCGUGAUUUGUUCACAUCUGUAAUGCAAGAUCCAGGAAGCGAUGCUUAAAGUGAAGACCAAAGCUCCCCCAAAGUGAACAGAAGCCAUCCUCAGCGACAACAAGCUCCUCGGACGAUGAGAACAGCUAGUUCCUCAGAAAAGCCAGUAUGAUCAUCUCCUCCAACAGAAUACCCCAGAGAAAGGGUGGCUUGCUACCAGCUUCCCACCAGCUUCUAACA